GAUGAACGCUGGCGGCGUGCCUAAUACAUGCAAGUCGAGCGAAUGGAUUAAGAGCUUGCUCUUGUGAAGUUAGCGGCGGACGGGUGAGUAACACGUGGGUAACCUGCCCAUAAGACUGGGAUAACUCCGGGAAACCGGGGCUAAUACCGGAUAACAUUUUGAACCGCAUGGUUCGAAAUUGAAAGGCGGCUUCGGCUGUCACUUAUGGAUGGACCCGCGUCGCAUUAGCUAGUUGGUGAGGUAACGGCUCACCAAGGCAACGAUGCGUAGCCGACCUGAGAGGGUGAUCGGCCACACUGGGACUGAGACACGGCCCAGACUCCUACGGGAGGCAGCAGUAGGGAAUCUUCCGCAAUGGACGAAAGUCUGACGGAGCAACGCCGCGUGCGUGGUGAAGGCUUUCGGGUCGUAAAACUCUGUUGUUAGGGAAGAACAAGUGCUAGUUGAAUAAGCUGGCACCUUGACGGUACCUAACCAGAAAGCCACGGCUAACUACGUGCCAGCAGCCGCCGUAA
rnacentral:rRNA from 1 species